rnacentral:rRNA from 1 species
AUACGUAGGGAGCGAGCGUUGUCCGGAAUGACUGGGCGUAAAGGGCGUGUAGGCGGCUGUCUAAGUCUGGAGUGAAAGUCCUGCUUUCAAGGUGGGAAUUGCUUUGGAGACUGGAUGGCUUGAGUGCGGAAGAGGUAAGUGGAAUUCCCAGUGUAGCGGUGAAAUGCGUAGAGAUUGGGAGGAACACCAGUGGCGAAGGCGACUUACUGGGCCGUAACUGACGCUGAGGCGCGAAAGCGUGGGGAGCGAACAGGAUUAGAUACCCUGGUAGUCCACGCGGUAAGCGAUGAAUGCCAGGUGUUGCGGGUAUCGACCCCUGCAGUGCCGGAGUAAACACAAUAAGCAUUCCGCCUGGGGAGUACGGCCGCAAGGUUGAAACUCAAAUGAAUUGACGGGG